rnacentral:rRNA from 1 species
CGACGAAAGAAACAGGACAAAGGAACUUUUCCAUUGACUUUUUGUCGACCCCAAAUUUUGACCUUUAGUUAAACGUGCUUGGGCGAGAGUAGUACUAGGAUGGGUGACCUCCCGGAAAGUCCUCGUCUUGCAUCCU